GGGUAGAGUAAUGCGUGACCAACCUGCCCCAUGCUCCAGAAUAGCUCUUGGAAACGGGUGGUAAUGCUGGAUGCUCCAACUUGACGCAUGUCUUGUUGGGAAAGUGUUUAGUGGCAUGGGAUGGGGUCGCGUCCUAUCAGCUUGUAGGCGGGGUAAUGGCCCACCUAGGCUUCGACGGGUAGCCGGCCUGAGAGGGCGGACGGCCACAUUGGGACCGAGAUACGGCCCAGACUCCUACGGGAGGCAGCAGCA
rnacentral:rRNA from 1 species